rnacentral:rRNA from 1 species
UACGGAGGAUGCAAGCGUUAUCCGGAAUGAUUGGGCGUAAAGCGUCCGCAGGUGGCUAUGUAAGUCUGCUGUUAAAGAGUGAGGCUCAACCUCAUAAAAGCAGUGGAAACUACAUGGCUAGAGUGCGUUCGGGGCAGAGGGAAUUCCUGGUGUAGCGGUGAAAUGCGUAGAGAUCAGGAAGAACACCGGUGGCGAAAGCGCUCUGCUAGGCCGCAACUGACACUGAGGGACGAAAGUGUGGGGAGCGAACAGG